rnacentral:tRNA from 1 species
UUAACUGAAGCCAAAAAGCGGCAGCUCAUUGUUAAUGAGUCCAAUGACUAUUCUCCGGUUAUA